CAUAUGCCAAAGGAUGGCUUAUCAUGGUGGGAGCGAGUAGAACGUCGCCGGUGCCAGGAAACAGGAUUAGGCGAAGGCAUGCACGCCGGCGAAUCUUACCCAGCUUCGGGGCUCUCCGGGGAGAUAACACCCCUACUGCUGCUCUGCGGGGUCUCCGCAUGAUCACUAAGGCAUAGUGACUACAAGGUUGCUCCUAGAGCUGUAUUCUGGAGGUAGAAGGAGACAAGGCUAGCCCUCUUCUUCCUAUAUCAUCGGGUCUGAGGCUAAUGGAUGCAAACCCUUUGCAUGGGUGCCCCGGGGGGUUUAUAUAGGCCUAUCCCCCGGGGAUACAAUGGUAAUCCGGCUGGGCGCGGGUCCCAGCCGUCUGUCUCACAUGCCGCCGUCUUCUCCGCCGACUGAUGGGGCCCGCCGACUCGCGGGCCCCGCCGGCGAGUCCGGCACUGUAGCCGUGCCUCUGAUGACGCAGGCUUGAUCAUUGGGUCGUGGCAACAGUGCCGCCAUCUAUCGGGCGAUCACUGUCGUUACUCCCCAUCUUGUCUGGUUAAUGGCGCGUGGGACCCGUGAGAGGGGCUGGCCGACUUCGGGGAGCCGACUCCCACGGGGCCGCCUUCUGGGCGUAUCCGCCGUCUUCUAGCUCUCACUGACUGGCGGGUCCGCCGUCUUUGAGCCGUAUAGGUAGGCCAUCGUGGCCACAGUACGCCACGCACUGUGGCCGAGGUCAGGUCUGGCAUGGCUACAGUGUCGGGCCACGCCGGAGAUCUCCGGCGGUACGGCACACUGUAGCCACGCCGGCUCCUCGCAAGCAGGAGGUGACGGCCACGCCGUGGUCGUACCCGCAAUGAGUGUGGAGUCGUGGGCCGACUCUCCAUAGCCGGUUCCUUUGGAAGUCGCCGGCCAUGAGUCGGCCCAUCUGGGAGUCGUCAUCUGAGACUCGGUUCAUCUGGGAGUCGUCAUCUGAGACUCGGUUCAUCUGGGAGUCGUCAUCUGAGACUCGGCUCAUCUGGGAGUCGUCAUCAGAGACUCGGUUCAUCUGGGAGUCGUCAUCUGAGACUCGGCUUUGAGGGGCGCGGCCUGUCCCGAUGUCCUGAAAGGUUCUGGGGCUAGGGCCAGCCUACCCGUGGCCCAUUACUCCGACAUAUAGCUUAGAGGUUUGAUGAUAGUGUAGGCAUGCAUGCCACAUACAUAUUCAUCAGGAUUCAGGACUGAGACAUCUGUGUGUGUUUCAGCAGACAGUCUCUAUGAUGCGAUGUUUCUUCAUGCUAGUAGCAUAGUGCUCCGAAAUUUUUGUUCCUCAUUGUUCGGUGAAAAUUGUGGUUAUCCUCUGUUACUUCUUGUAGGUAGUUGUAGCUUUCAUGUGAUGGGAAUCAACUAGACAAGAUACUCGCUUGUCCGAACAUUUGAUUAAGUAAUGUAUCUUGUGAUCAUUUUAUGGAUGUUUGCUGGUAUGGUGCAUGAAAAAAUGACAUGUAUGAAGCCAAUGCUUUGGAUAGAUGCACUUUAGAUGCUCUACUGUUGUUCUUCAUUUUGUUUCAAAAUGGACUUGUUCUUACUGCCACUGUCCAAGUGCAAGCAGCGACCCACAGAGUAGUACAACAUUCGAAGAACUUCUUGAGAAGCUCAUGGAACUGAUAAGCCACUAACUUCUGUAGUGUUGAAUGAUUAAAUCGCUACCUUUAACUUGAAAUAAAAAUGGAGUACUUCUUUUGACCUUGAUACCCUUUUCUCUUGUUUUUUCAGGAUGAGAUACAACAAGAAAUCUUAGAAGGUUUGGUAGUUGAUGUCGUGGAUGAACAAGAGACAGAUGAAGCUUGGCGACGUAAUUAGAUGUGAUUGCUAGUUGUAUGUGUUGGCUGUCAUGUGGUGUGAGAUAGUACAUUUGCACUUGUGUAUGUUGUAUGAAAAAGCUUGAAACAUGUCGAUGUUACGUAUCUGUUGGAAACAAAUCAUAUAGUGGAUUUUGAAUGUGUGA